rnacentral:rRNA from 1 species
AGAGGGUGAGACUCCCGUCCGCCUGGUAGAGUGAGCCAUUUGUCAACGAGUCGAGUUGUUUGGGAUUGCAGCUCUAAUUUGGUGGUAAAUUCCAUCUAAAGCUAAAUAUUGGUGGGAGACCGAUAGCGUACAAGUACCGUGAGGGAAAGAUGCAAAGAACUUUGAAAAGAGAGUUAAAGAGUACCUGAAAUUGCUGAAACGGAAGCGAAGGAAACCAGUGUUUGUUUGUUCAUAUUUCCCUGGCCACUUGUGGUUUGGGCGCUGUGGGCUUGCGUGGGUUUACUUUGGUUGAUCCCUUUGGAAGAGCGCAGUCAGAGUUGAUGUCUCUGAGACU